AGGACUAACGCUGGCGGCGUGCCUAACACAUGCAAGUCGAACGAGAGUAGCAAUACUCUAGUGGCAGACGGGUGAGUAACACGUGGUCAACCUUCCCUAGCGUGGGGGAUAACUAGCCGAAAGGUUAGCUAAUACCGCAUGACAUCGUCGAGUGGCAUCAUUUGACGAUCAAAGGAGCAAUCCGCGCAAGGACGGGACCGCGUCCCAUUAGCUAGUUGGUGAGGUAACGGCCCACCAAGGCUUCGAUGGGUAGCUGGUUUGAGAGAGCGACCAGCCACACUGGGACUGAGACACGGCCCAGACUCCUACGGGAGGCAGCAGUGAGGAAUUUUCCGCAAUGGGCGAAAGCCUGACGGAGCGACGUCGCGUGUGGGAAGAAGGCCUUCGGUCGUAACCACUGUCGAAGGGAAGAUAUUGACGGUACCUUGGAGGAAGCCCGGCUACUACGUGCCAGCAGCCGC
rnacentral:rRNA from 1 species